UACAGAGGUCUCAAGCGUUGUUCGGAUUCAUUGGGCGUAAGGGUGCGAGUAGGUGGCGCCGUAAGUCGGGUGUGAAAUUUCGGGAGCUUAACUCCGAAACUGCAUUCGAUACUGCGUGCUUGAGGACUGGAGAGGAGUACUGGAAUUCGAUGGUGUAGCAGUGAAAUGCGUAGAGAUCAAUGAGGAAGACCAGUGGCGAAGGCGGGACGUU
rnacentral:rRNA from 1 species